rnacentral:rRNA from 1 species
UGCAGUCGAACGGUACAGGUCUUCGGAUGCUGACGAGUGGCGAGCGGGUGAGUAAUACAUCGGAACGUGCCCGAGAGUGGGGGAUAACGAAGCGAAAGCUUUGCUAAUACCGCAUACGAUCUCAGGAUGAAAGCAGGGGACCGCAAGGCCUUGCGCUCACGGAGCGGCCGAUGGCAGAUUAGGUAGUUGGUGGGAUAAAAGCUUACCAAGCCGACGAUCUGUAGCUGGUCUGAGAGGACGACCGGCCACACUGGGACUGAGACACGGCCCAGACUCCUACGGGAGGCAGCAGUGGGGAAUUUUGGACAAUGGGCGCAAGCCUGAUCCAGCCAUGCCGCGUGCAGGAUGAAGGCCUUCGGGUUGUAAACUGCUUUUGUACGGAACGAAAAGACUCUGGUUAAUACCUGGGGUCCAUGACGGUACCGUAAGAAUAAGCACCGGCUAACUACGUGCCAGCAGCCGCGGUAAUACGUAGGGUGCGAGCGUUAAUCGGAAUUACUGGGCGUAAAGCGUGCGCAGGCGGUUAUAUAAGACAGAUGUGAAAUCCCCGGGCUCAACCUGGGAACUGCAUUUGUGACUGUAUAGCUAGAGUACGGCAG